UACGUAGGUGGCAAGCGUUAUCCGGAUUUAUUGGGUGUAAAGGGCGUGUAGGCGGGAAUGCAAGUCAGAUGUGAAAACUCAGGGCUCAACCCUGAGCCUGCAUUUGAAACUGUAUUUCUUGUGUGCUGGAGAGGCAAUCGGAAUUCCGUGUGUAGCGGUGAAAUGCGUAGAUAUACGGAGGAACACCAGUGGCGAAGGCGGAUUGCUGGACAGUAACUGACGCUGAGGCGCGAAAGCGUGGGGAGCAAACAGG
rnacentral:rRNA from 1 species